UCUGUGUAGGAUAGGUGGGAGGCUUUGAAACCGGGACGCUAGUUUCGGUGGAGCCGUCCUUGAAAUACCACCCUGGUUUGUUUGAGGUUCUAACCUUGGCCCGUGAAUCCGGGUCGGGGACAGUGCAUGGUAGGCAGUUUGACUGGGGCGGUCUCCUCCCAAAGUGUAACGGAGGAGUUCGAAGGUACGCUUGGUACGGUCGGACAUCGUACCUAAAGUGCAAUGGCAAAAGCGUGCUUAACUGCGAGACCGACAAGUCGAGCAGGUGCGAAAGCAGGACAUAGUGAUCCGGUGGUUCUGUAUGGAAGGGCCAUCGCUCAACGGAUAAAAGGUACUCUAGGGAUAACA
rnacentral:rRNA from 1 species